GACGAACGCUGGCGGCGUGCUUAACACAUGCAAGUCGAACGCGCCUGCUUCUUUUGGGGUGGGUGAGUGGCGAACGGGUGAGUAACACGUGGGUGACCUGCCCUCCACUUUGGGAUAAGCCUGGGAAACUGGGUCUAAUACCGGAUAUGACCGCAUGUUGCAUGGUGUGUGGUGGAAAGUUUUUUCGGUGGGGGAUGGGCCCGCGGCCUAUCAGCUUGUUGGUGGGGUGAUGGCCUACCAAGGCUUCGACGGGUAGCCGGCCUGAGAGGGCGUCCGGCCAGACUGGGACUGAGACACGGCCCAGACUCCUACGGGAGGCAGCAGUGGGGAAUAUUGCGCAAUGGGCGGAAGCCUGACGCAGCGACGCCGCGUAGGGGAUGACGGCCUUCGGGUUGUAAACCUCUUUCGACCUCGACGAAGCCUGUGGGUGACGGUAGGGGUGGAAGAAGCACCGGCCAACUACGUGCCAGCAGCCGCAGUAA
rnacentral:rRNA from 1 species